GCGGGUUCAAUUAGGCUUCUCAACCUUUAGCAGGUUUAGUGAGGAAUUUUCUAUUUGAUAGUCUCUUGCAGCUCGUAUUUAUCAUUUAUUCUGAUAACCAAUUUGAUGCAAGUAAACUGAUUGUUUUUUUCUUCAUCUGAUACACAUACAGUAAACUGUUCGUUUUGCGAUUCAUUCUGCACACCACAAUGCAGUUUAUUCAUGUCUUAUUCCUAUUCACGGAUUGCAGUGAGGGGAUGGACUAAUGUACUUAGACGAAUGUUAUGCUCAUGCUUACUUGUUCUAAAAUAAACAAGUAUUACUGAAGAAGUCUUGGCAUUUCCUGUACAGAUGAAAGGGUGCCCGUACAUGGUUGUGUUGUUAUAUGUUCCUUCUUUAGCACACCAUACUUAGAACUGCAUGUUGUUUAGGGGUAAUUUUUCGUAACUGUGUUAACUGUGAACCUCCUAGUCAUCUACUCUACAAACAUACCUCCCAAAGCUUUUUCAUGUUUUAUGUUACCACCCAAAGCUUUUUCAUAGAUGCAGAGCCUGCUGAUGGGUGCAUGCUUUUUUGCUGGUGCCUUCUCUAGCUUCUAGGAAGAGGAAGUUAUUCAUCUCACUACUCAUUACUGUUGUACUCACCUCUAACUCUGAUCUUUCUUUACUUUUGGCAUGCAUGUUCUGUUGCUGGUGGAACCAAAUCCUGGAUCCUGGAGCUUCAUCCAGAACCAAACUUCGCUGCUGCAGCUUCAUAUUUUGUUGGAUUGUUACCUUUUGGUCCAACUUCAACCAAACUUUGCUGCUGCUAGUUCAUAUUCUUGAUGAAAUCUAUCUUUUGUUGCUUCUGGUCAAUUGUGUAAAGUCUUGGAAUGUUACUAGUUCUGACUGAUAAAUGAGAAAAUUGUAUGUGAUGCAAACUUUAUUCAUGUGAA